rnacentral:rRNA from 1 species
UACGUAGGGGGGCAAGCGUUGUCCGGAUUUAUUGGGCGUAAAGAGCGUGUAGGCGGCCAGGUAGGUCCGUUGUGAAAACUCGAGGCUCAACCUCGAGACGUCGGCGGAAACCCUCUGGCUAGAGUCCGGAAGAGGAGAGUGGAAUUCCUGGUGUAGCGGUGAAAUACGCAGAUAUCAGGAAGAACACCCGUGGCGAAGGCGGCUCUCUGGGACGGUACUGACGCUGAGACGCGAAAGCGUGGGGAGCAAACAGG